GACGAACGCUAGCGGCGUGCCUAAUACAUGCAAGUCGAGCGGAAGUUGAAGAGCUUGCUCUUCAACUUUAGCGGCGGACGGGUGAGUAACACGUGGGCAACCUGCCCUGCAGAUCGGGAUAACUCCGGGAAACCGGUGCUAAUACCGAAUAGUUUUCGCCACCUCCUGGUGGCGUACGGAAAGACGGUUUCGGCUGUCACUGCAGGAUGGGCCCGCGGCGCAUUAGCUAGUUGGUGGGGUAACGGCCCACCAAGGCAACGAUGCGUAGCCGACCUGAGAGGGUGAUCGGCCACACUGGGACUGAGACACGGCCCAGACUCCUACGGGAGGCAGCAGUAGGAAAUCUUCCGCAAUGGACGAAAGUCUGACGGAGCAACGCCGCGUGAGUGACGAAGGUUUUCGGAUCGUAAAACUCUGUUGUGAGGGAAGAACAAGUACCACUUAACUACUGGUACCUUGACGGUACCUCACCAGAAAGCCACGGCUAACUACGUGCCAGCAGCCGCCGUAAGAC
rnacentral:rRNA from 1 species